GCCUAAAGCGUCCGUAGCCUGCUCUGUAAGUUUCCGGUUAAAUCCAUUAGCUCAACUAAUGGCCUGCCGGAAAUACUGCAGAGCUAGGAAGUGGGAGAGGUAGACGGUACUCGGUAGGAAGGGGUAAAAUCCUUUGAUCUAUUGAUGACCACCUGUGGCGAAGGCGGUCUACCAGAACACGUUCGACGGUGAGGGAUGAAAGCUGGGGGAGCAAACCGGAUUAGAUACCCGGGUAGUCCCAGCUGUAAACGAUGCAGACUCGGUGAUGCCCUGGCUUGUGGCCAGUGCAGUGCCGCAGGGAAGCCGUUAAGUUUGCCGCCUGGGAAGUACGUACGCAAGUAUGAAACUUAAAGGAAUUGGCGGGGGAGCACCACAAGGGGUGAAGCCUGCGGUUCAAUUGGAGUCAACGCCAGAAAUCUUACCCGAAGAGACAGCAGAAUGAAGGUCAAGCUGGAGACUUUACCAGACAAGCUGAGAAGUGGUGCAUGGCCGUCGCCAGCUCGUGCCGUGAGAUGUCCUGUUAAGUCAGGUAACGAGCGAGAUCCCUGCCUCUAGUUGCCACCAUUACUCUCAGGAGUAGUGGGGCGAAUUAGCGGGACCGCCGCAGUUAAUGCGGAGGAAGGAAGGGGCCACGGCAGGUCAGUAUGCCCCGAA
rnacentral:rRNA from 1 species